CGUCUUUGAGAAACUACCGAAAUAUGUUAGUAUGCUAGGAAAAUUAAAUUGUUCCCUCAAAGCAA
rnacentral:tRNA from 1 species